rnacentral:sRNA from 1 species
UUUAUGUGGUCAAACUGUGUCACAAUCCAAUGCAUUUGACUAAUUAUAAGAGUUAGAGAUGGAUGAG